AUUGAACGCUGGCGGCAUGCUUUACACAUGCAAGUCGAACGGCAGCGCGGGCUUCGGCCUGGCGGCGAGUGGCGAACGGGUGAGUAAUACAUCGGAACGUGCCCAGUAGUGGGGGAUAGCUCGGUGAAAGCCGGAUUAAUACCGCAUACGACCUGAGGGUGAAAGCGGGGGAUCUUCGGACCUCGCGCUAUUGGAGCGGCCGAUGGCAGAUUAGCUAGUUGGUGGGGUAAAGGCCUACCAAGGCGACGAUCUGUAGCUGGUCUGAGAGGACGACCAGCCACACUGGGACUGAGACACGGCCCAGACUCCUACGGGAGGCAGCAGUGGGGAAUUUUGGACAAUGGGCGAAAGCCUGAUCCAGCAAUGCCGCGUGUGUGAUGAAGGCCUUCGGGUUGUAAAGCACUUUUGGCGGGAACGAAAAGGACUGUGCCAAUACCACGGUUCGAUGACGGUACCCGCAGAAUAAGCACCGGCUAACUACGU
rnacentral:rRNA from 1 species